rnacentral:lncRNA from 1 species
GGCUUUUCGUGUGAGGGUGUUCGAGAGAGUUCCAUCUUCUCUCUGUAUCGAGGGUUUCUGAUUUCCCUCAUUUUGUCUAACAUCUCAUUCGAAAAUUGUGGUUUUGAUGUUUUAGCCAUAGAAUACUUGUAUUUUCUUGAGUGAAAAUAUGUAAGAACGAGAGAGUUCUCAUGUAUUGAGAUCGGAGAAAGUGGUCUGUUGAUUCUUGAGUGAUCUGAGGUAGAUCUAUUGAUUUCUUGAAGAGAUAAGUCUCUUCCUUUGUGUAUUCUUUUUGAGGCAUUUAAUGCAAUCGAGCAAUAUCCAUUCUUGAUUAGAUUUUCAAUAGGGGAUUAGGUGUUGAAAGAAUACUGAGCCUCUGGGAAUUCGGCCGAAAAUUCUAUUGUGUUCAUUUUACUUGUAUGCAAGUUUAUUUUCUAUUUUAUUGUUGAUCCA